UCAUUUAUAGCUACUUCUGUAUACAGCUGGCCUGCUGUACCUGUAUCCCUUGGAUUCCACCAAUUAUGGAUUAAGAUAUUUGAAAAGAAAUUGAGUUUGUACUGAACACAUACAGACAUUUUCUUGUUAUCAUCCUCCAAACAAUGCCUUGGGACAGCUAUGUAUACAGCAUCUCUUUUAGUUCAGGACAUCAAGCAGUGGUCUCUGGUGAAUCCUACAAUGUGAUGCUCAGCUUAAAUUUCGGUGUAAUCUGUUGGCUCCAGUGGAAAUUGCUAAUAGGGGCGGCAGAGACCUUAGGGGUUGAGAAUACUUGCCACUCUUCCAGAGGACUGAAGUUCAUGUCAAGUGGCUGGCAACUGCUUGCAACUCCAGCUCCAGAAGUUUCAAUACCCUUUUCUAGCCAUUACAGCAUGUGCAUACAUAAAAGAAUUUAGAACUCCCUGCAAAUCCCACAACAUUCCCCUCACAUGUUCUUUCAGUCUCCAUGAGAGCUGCUGCAUCGAUCAGUUCAUCAAAAGCAACAUGGAAAAUAAUGUGUUAUCCUAACCAUCCUUCCAUUGUUAACAUCUUUCGGUUCAUAAAAUGACUUUCAUGCUCA